GAGAAGAAAGUUCAUGAUGACGAAGAUGAGGAAGAAUUUUGUCUUCCAGAUGGAGUGGAACCACUGUUGCAGAACACUCAGCUUUAUACUGACACUACAGCUGCUGGUAUUUCAUUGUUGUUUGCGCCACGUCCCUUCUGCAUGAGAUCCGGUCGGACACGUCGUGCUGAAGAUAUACCUCUAGUAUCAGAGUGGUAUAAGGAGCAUUGCCCACCUUCGU
rnacentral:misc_RNA from 1 species